AGGGCGGGCUGCCCUUAACAUGCAAGUCGAACGGUAACAGGGAGCUUGCUCCGCUGACGAGUGGCGAACGGGUGAGUAAUACAUCGGAACGUGCCCAGUAAUGGGGGAUAGCUCGGCGAAAGCCGGAUUAAUACCGCAUACGCCCUGAGGGGGAAAGUGGGGGACCGCAAGGCCUCACGUUAUUGGAGCGGCCGAUGGCUGAUUAGCUAGUUGGUAGGGUAAAGGCCUACCAAGGCGACGAUCAGUAGCUGGUCUGAGAGGACGAUCAGCCACACUGGGACUGAGACACGGCCCAGACUCCUACGGGAGGCAGCAGUGGGGAAUUUUGGACAAUGGGGGAAACCCUGAUCCAGCAAUGCCGCGUGUGCGAAGAAGGCCUUCGGGUUGUAAAGCACUUUUGUCAGGGAAGAAAUCCUUUGGGCUAAUACCCUAGGGGGAUGACGGUACCUGAAGAAUAAGCACCGGCUAACUACGUGCCAGCAGCCGCGGUAAUACGUAGGGUGCAAGCGUUAAUCGGAAUUACUGGGCGUAAAGCGUGCGCAGGCGGUUGUGUAAGACAGGUGUGAAAUCCCCGGGCUUAACCUGGGAAUUGCAUUUGUGACUGCACGAC
rnacentral:rRNA from 1 species